rnacentral:lncRNA from 1 species
UUAUUUUAUUUUUAAGCUGUUAUGGUUGAGAAGUUAAAUAGCCUUUUAAAUUAUUGUUAAAAGAAUAAUUUUGUUUACUUAAAUAUUUUGUUUAUUAUUUUGCAUUUGUUCUGAUUGUAAAAUAUAAACUAUAUAUUCACUACAACAGAAUUAGGUUAUAGCGGCACAUUUUUGGGACACUUUUGUAUAAGUGUCCCAUUUAUACCAAAGCUUUUAAAAAAUUCUACUAAGGCUUAACUAUAAAGCUCAAUCCAACCAAAAAUAAAAUAUUACUCUACUCAACCCACUCCAGCCAGCCUAUUCGUCCUGAUUACAAACAGAAAAGGAAAAUAAAAAAGAAAAAUAGAUCACCAUCUUUCCUUCUCCCCUCACUGAAUCCGUUGAAACCCUAGACGAAGAGCCCCUCCCUCCCCUCUUCCUCCGCGCCGCAGCCGACGAGGUAGGGUUCUAGCGGUUGCUUAAUGCUUAAAUAAGUGUUGGUAAAUUAGCAGCAUUCUUUUUAAAUUAUACCGACACUCUUAAAGUGUCACUAUAUAUCUAGCGACCCCAUAUAUAGCAACACUUUUAAAAAGUGUCGGUAAUUUAACCAGUAGUAUUUUUUUCGACUCGUACCGAUAUUUAAAAGUGUCGCUAUAUACCCUUUUUUUUGUAGUGAUUUUUAUAUUUUGUUUUAUUAGCUAUUUGCUAUUGGUGG